UUUCUCUUUUAUCAAUCUUCCCUCUCUUUUCUUCACAUUUGUAAUACUACUUCCUCUCUCCUCGAUUCCUCCAACAACAAAGAAAACCUUAAGAACAAAGUUUCAGAAAACAAUCUAAUCCACUCUACUCAUUCAUAUUUCGAGCUACACAUUUGAAGAACAACAUCACACCAUGUCAAGACCACCUAUUAUGAUUUGUGAUUUGAGGGUAGAUAAAAAUGUCUGGAAACUCGCCAUUCGCGUGGUUGAUUUGUGGAUAGUUAAGGAGCAGAAUGGACAACAACACUUUGAAGGCGUUAUCCAAGAUUCCAAGGGGGACAAAAUCCUUGUCGUCAUCCGGAACCGGGAUUUCGAGAUGUGGAAACAAACUACAAGAACAAUAAACCUAUAUGGUUUAUAAUGGCGACCCUCUUGUCAAUGAUCUUGCUUUUAAAAUCUGUGAUAGCCCGUUGGAGCUAUUUCUUCAUAGAGGAACCACCGUAACCAUGUUAGACAUGCCGGAAAUACAAAUGCACCAGUUCCAUUUAAAACCCAUUGUUGAUUUCUUGCAUGGGAACUUUGAAGUGAACCGCUUAUACGAUGUUAUUGGUGUACUCCACCAAGUACUGAAGACUCAAGUUGCAAGGGGUGGACGAAAGGCAUGCGUCAACAUUCUUUUAUCAGAUGAGAUAUUAUUGUCUUAGCACUACCUUGUAAUGCUUAACAUGUUUCAUUUCUCUAUAGUUAGUUCAUUAAGUUUUUGUAUCUAUUUUAUUUGAAGUGGAAGAGAACUUGAUCUUAAAUUAUGGGAAACAUAUGCCAACCAAUUUAUGGCACACACAUAUGAAAAUACAACAGGGGGGCCCAAAACCAUCAUUAUCACUCAUGUUAUGUGCCAAAAAAAUUCAACCACUGGAAAGAUCUAUAUUUCUAAUGCUUGCAUUGGAUCAAAACUGUUUAUUGAUUAUGAUCAUCCAUAGGUCACAUCAUUCAAAGAAAAAUUAGGAGACAAUGGUCACUCCAAUAUUCUUUCAUAACAACUAUCUCAAAGUUCUGCAUCUUAGGGAGCGUCUGAAGACCAUUCAUUCUCAUAUACCAAUGACGUCAAAACUAUUGGGGACAUAAAUUCUCUUCAACAUUCAACUUUUUGCAACACAUUUAGAACCACUAAGAGGUUCAAAUCAAGUCGGUUUGGUUGGUACUAUGAGCAAUUUCCAGCUUGUAAGAGGACUAAUAAGUCUCCGGGGGUGCCUUUCAUAUGUACCUGUUGUGAAAACAAAGUUGCUCCCAUCACUAAGUAUAAAAUUGAAAUAGAGGUUGAGUAUGAAGGCAAGAUUUUGUUUUGUUUUGGGACAAGGAGUGUAUUCAGUAUGUUGGUUUAUCUGCACAUGAUUUACGAGAAGUAAUGAAAAAGACCAAUGAAGACCAUCCACAAGUCUAUUCCGCACACCUAGAUAAUCUAUUGGGCAAAGAAUUCGGUUUUUGUGUGAAGUACCAACCAGACUUUUAGCAAUCUUCUAUUGUCAAGCUUUCAGAGGAUAAACAAAUCAUCCAAAUGAUCAAAGAUACCAUGGUUCAACAUGGGCAAACUUCAAAAAAGAUGGUGAGUUCUCCAAUUAUCAAAGCAACCGAAAUUGAUUCUAACAUAGAUCUUCCCGACAAAGACUUUGUCACUCCUACUCGGGUUCCCAUAUCUAACAUGACUGCUUCUCAAAACUCGAGUGACGAUGUUAAUUCAAGCAAAACCCCGUGUAAGAGGUUGUCCCAAGAAAGUUAUUUUGAGGAGCUAGGAAGUUCGACUAUGUUGUCCCCAAAGCUAUCUGGAACAAAGUCUGCCAAGAGUGGCAAACAUGCCAAGAGAAAAUGAAACUGCUACCUUUGUCACAUUUUUUUGUACAACAAGCUUCAAUUUUGAUGUAAUGCAAACCUUUCUUGUUAAAUAGGACCCAUACAUAACCUUCACAACUUUAUCUACUUAAUUAAUUUUUUUACUUCAUGUUGUCAGAUCUAGCAUUUGGAUAUGGUGCAUGGUUAAUUUGUAACCUUAUCUUAUUCUAAUGGACAUGUUUAAUUUAGAACUUCCAUCAAGGAUGUCUUAUAACAAUUAAUCUUUAUUUCA